rnacentral:rRNA from 1 species
UACAGAGGGCCCAAGCGUUGUUCGGAUUCACUGGGCGUAAAGGGUGCGUAGGUGGUGAGGUAAGUCGGAUGUGAAAGCUCGGAGCUCAACUCCGAAAUGGCAUUGGAAACUACCUUGCUCGAGGGUUGGAGGGGGGACUGGAAUACUUGGUGUACCAGUGAAAUGCGUAGAUAUCAAGUGGAACACCAGUGGCGAAGGCGAGUCCCUGGACAACUCCUGACACUGAGGCACGAAAGCUAGGGGAGCAAACAGG